rnacentral:tRNA from 1 species
GGGGGCGUGGCGGAACCGGUAGACGCAUUGGACUUAAAAUCCAAUGGGCGUAAGCCCGUGCAGGUUCAAAUCCUGCCGCCCCCACCA